GAUGAACGCUAGCGGCAGGCCUAAUACAUGCAAGUCGGACGGGAUUCAGGAGCUUGCUUCUGAUGAGAGUGGCGCACGGGUGCGUAACACGUAUGUAACCUACCUUUAUCAGGGGGAUAGCCUCUCGAAAGAGAGAUUAAGCCCGCAUAAAAUCACAGCACAGCAUUGUGUAAUGAUCAAAUAUUUAUAGGAUAAAGAUGGGCAUGCGGAACAUUCGCUAGAUGGCGGGGUAACGGCCCACCAUGGCGACGAUGUUUAGGGGAUCUGAGAGGAUGGCCCCCCACACUGGUACUGGGACACGGACCAGACUCCUACGGGAGGAAGCAGUAAGGAAUAUUGGUCAAUGGGCGGAAGCCUGAACCAGCCAUGCCGCGGGCAGGAAGACGGCCCUACGGGUUGUAAACUGCUUUUAUACGGGAAUAAACCCAGAUACGUGUAUCUGGCUGAAUGUACUGUAAGAAUAAGGAUCGGCUAACUCCGUG
rnacentral:rRNA from 1 species